AUUGAACGCUGGCGGCAUGCCUAACACAUGCAAGUCGAACGGAAACGAUGGGAGCUUGCUCCCAGGCGUCGAGUGGCGGACGGGUGAGUAAUGCGUAGGAAUCUGCCCUGUAGUGAGGAAUAACCUUGGGAAACCAAGACUAAUACCGCAUACCUUCUACGGAAGAAAGCUGGGGACCUUCGGGCCUGGCGCUACAGGAUGAGCCUACGUCCGAUUAGCUAGUUGGCGGGGUAACGGCCCACCAAGGCGACGAUCGGUAGCUGGUCUGAGAGGAUGACCAGCCACACUGGGACUGAGACACGGGCCCAGACUCCUACGGGGAGGCAGCAGUGGGGAAUAUUGGACAAUGGGCGCAAGCCUGAUCCAGCAAUGCCGCGUGUGUGAAGAAGGCCUGCGGGUUGUAAAGCACUUUCAGUGGGGAGGAAAAGCUUACGGGGAAUAUCCGUGAGUCUUGACGUUACCACAGAAGAAGCACCGGCUAACUCCGUGCCAGCCGCC
rnacentral:rRNA from 1 species